rfam:Oscillatoria acuminata PCC 6304, complete genome.
GAGUAGAUGCACCCUGAUGGCAACGCCCACUCACCCAGUGGGCGUUUUUUUU